rnacentral:lncRNA from 1 species
CUUUCUAGCCAUGGCAUGUCCGUUGGAAUGAGUACUAAAUGAACCCUCAUGGACCUCAGUCAUUAACAGGUCUGCUUCGUGUCUAUCCACGCAUUUGAGAAGGACCAUGUCAAAAUUUAUCUUGUAAAGCACUUCGCCAUUGAGGUAGAAACUGCCUAACAAUCUCCUCAAAGUCUUCCUAUCUUUCACAAACGCCCCAGGCGGGUAACUCUGGUUCUGGAGGAAACACUUGAUGUCAUAAUACCAUGGCUUGUCA